CAUUCCAUGCAUGACACUGGGCCAGGCGGGGAGGAGGGACAGAGCCAGAGUUGGUGACUGAAGGGGGGGACCGAAGAAGAAAGGCUGGCCUGCAGCUUGGGGCCGUCUCCGGUCCUGCGCGCCCUGGCCGCCCUGGCGCAGACCCAGGGGCUGAAAUGUCAGGAGCACGUGAGCCGCUUACCGAGCAGCCUGGCCCAGGCGGCCACCAGAGCCCGCCCAGAGGGAGGGUGGCCUGCUGGGGGGGGACUCAGGAGCCCAGAGGAGUCCCGGCUCCCUGCAGGUCUGUGGCUGCGCUGGGCCAGAGGUCCUGGGGCACAGGCCCAGGGGGCCAGGAAGAGGAAGGGGCCAGGUCCCCAGGGCGCAGGAGAGGGGUGAAGUCCUGGGCCCACGGGUCCCCUGCAGUUCAUCACCCCCACUUUACAGAUGGGGCGACUGAGACUCGGGCAGCCAGUGGGGACAAGGUAACGAGUCCUGUCCCCGUUCAUGGGAAUGAAUGGUCUGCUCCACCAAGUCCUCCCGCCCUGCUGGGCUGCCUCACCCAACGCAGCAGGGCCAGCCCAUCAUGGAGACCAAGUGAACCUUUCUUCUCUUUACAAGCUGAUGUUCCUAGCCAUGUGUUACAGCAACGGAAAACCGACGAACAGAGCAGCCCAGCUGGCACGACCCCUGAGCUGGGGUCUUCUGGAAUCUUCAUGGGCACCGAAGUCGGUCCUUCUUCCUGUACACUCCCCUCACCUUUAUGAUUUUUCCGUCACCCCGGGCUACUUCCUUUCGUUUGUACCCAUUGUGCAAUUAAAUCAUAAACCAUCACAAAUAAGUAAUAAUAAUAAUAAAGGCCAAAUCAUAAAUUACCACACAUAAA